AUCAUUUCACCAGUUUCUUUUCACGAAUACCGAGAGAAACCGAGCGGUGUUCUUCGUGUUCUUCAUAAUCAAACGAAGAUUUGAAGGUGUUAUUGGAAUCCGAUGGAGGUGUAUGAAUAGUCAAAACGAAGCUAUCGACGCGUAGAAUCUAGUUUAAUCAUCCGUUUGUGUGCAGAUUCAACAGGUGAUUUUAGAUUAAUUUUAUAAAAUUCGAAUUAUUUGCUUUUAAAUGUUGAAUUUUUGCAAACGAUUCCGUUUAUGUGAUUUGAUGAUGUCAUGUUGUAGAGCGUGUUUUUCUCGUCGUUUUGGUAUAUUAUAUGUUGAAUUUCGAGUUCGGUAACAUAUAGAAAAUGGGGUUUAAUUCUUGUAAGCAUGUUCUUGGUGUUCUUGAGUUUCUUCGCCGGAAACUUUGAGUUUUGCCGGAUUUUUCGUUCGGUUGAAUCUGGGUAUAAACUAAAUAUGCCACUAGGUAGAUCGUAGGGAUAUGAGUUGAAUGGUGUAGAGAAAACGAGCAACGGAGGCGGGUUAUGGCCGCCGGAAAAUGUCGCCACCGUCGCUUACGGGGCGUUUUCCGGCCAGAUGGCCGCGUUUCUGCAUAAGUUAAGCUGUGAAAUGAGUUUGUGGGAGUGUGGGUAAGUGAUCUGGAGAGUUUGGAGGCCGUUGGAGGCCGGAGGAGCAUUUUCCGGCGACCUGGGGGCGGUGGCGGUGUAAAACUGCUAAACGGCCCCCAGGGUUUGAAAGAUGAUGAAGAUGUUGUACUCGGGUUUUGAAACUUACAAAUUACCCCCUGUAACUUCUAAAAGUUACAGUUUGAACCUUGGCCGAAAACUUUCAAAAGUUUACAAAAUAAACCUUUUGAUUUAAUUUUCUAAAAUUGUUUUAUUUAAUUAUUUUAAAUUCCAAAAAUAGUUUUUAAUUAUUUCUUUAUUCAAAAAUAAAUCUAAAUUAGUUUAUUAAUUAAUUUUAAUUAGUAAUUAAUUAUUUUAAUUGGUCAAUUAAUUUAAAUAUUAAUUGAUUAAUUAUUUUAAUUAAUUAUUAAUUGAUUUUAAUUGAUUAAUUAAUUGGAUUUAAUUAUCCUUUUUGAUUUAAAAAUUCCGAAAAAUAGUUUCGAGCUUUGAAAUAUUUUUCUAAAUUAUUUUCAAGGCUCUAUUAUUGUUUAUGAAUGAUUUCAAGUCCAAUUUCAAGUAUUUGGGACUUGAUUAUUUAUCCGAAAAGUGAUUCUUUUAUCGAGUUUAAUUCCGAAAAAUGUUUAAAAAUUCCAGAAAAUUCCCGAAAAAUCAUUUUUAACCCAAGAGUUGAUUUGAUAUCAAUCGGGGUGGGAAACCUUAUGUGUAAUGUGUUGUCUGCUAUCUGUUUGAUGUGUUAUGUGCCGAUAGAGGAGUUAGAAAACGGUUUUAAACAUAUCUUUUGAUCCGUAAGUCGGAAUCGAGUGAAACGAAAGAGAGGCAGAAGCUUAUAAAGUCUAGUUGGAUAUAACAUAAUAAUAUGAUGGAGUCGAGAAUGUGAAUAAUUGUUGUUAAAUGUGCCGAAUGUGAUUAUAUGUUAUUGGAUUGUUAUUAAUUGAUGAUUACGUGAUAUAUAUGUCUAUUCCUGAUAUUAUAUACGUGAUAAAUGACUUAUAUGACNGAUUUGGAUGACAUAGUGUCGUGANNNNNNNNNNNNNNNNNNNNNNNNNNNNNNNNNNNNNNNNNNNNNNNNNNNNNNNNNNNNNNNNNNNNNNNNNNNNNNNNNNNNNNNGGCGAGAUGAUGUCGGAUUUCGAUAGGAUUCAUAUGAUAAGUGAUUGGUAAUAUGUUAUGUGGAAUACGACUUGACUAUAUGAUAGAGUCAAAGCAUGAUUACGUGUUAAGUGAUAUGUGAUAAGUUUAAAGGGGUAUAUAAGUAGGUAUCGAUAUACGUGAUAUGUAUAUGCGAUAUAUUGUUUAGUGACUAUGGUAUUAUCUUAUUUUACGUGUUAAGUGAUAUGUGAUAAGUUUAAAGGGGUAUAUAAGUGGGUAUCGAUAUGCGUGAUAUGUAUAUACGAUCGAUUGAUUAGUGAUUAUAUUAUUAUCUUAUUCUCGUUAAGGAUUGGACGAGACGUGGAUGACCGAAGACGUUCAGAAGGACAAGUGGUGUUCCAAAGCGAAUAAAGAAUGAGUCGAGUAAGCGAAGUGGUGUGGCAAAUAGGGUAUAGCCAGAGAUGGUCUAGAGACUAUGAUAUGCAUAGAGUAUGAAGGUGGAAAGAUGAGAAUGAGCUGUGAGACGGGAGUCAGAUUUAAGGCAAGUAUCCUGAACCCUUCUUUUGGAUAUCUUGCGAUUAUUCUGAUCCAUUCUUUUCGUAUGUGUUGCAAAUAUUCGUUCCUCUCUUUUCAUAUUUGACAGUGUAAAUAUUUUAUCCAUCCUUUUCUAAACCUCAAAAAUUCAGAUAAUUCCAGUUUUACAAAUUAAUUCGAAGUUCAGAUUGUCAUUGAAGCAUGUGUUGCUCAGUGAUAGUUAGAGCUUUGAAUGAAUUGGGAUCUUCUUGAUUAUUCAAACCGCCAUUGUCAUGCUGGUUAGCAGGCUGAAUUCAGUUGCUUAGCCGAUAAUGGAGGAUACUGAAUAGUUAAGGAUUUAGCAGGCUAAAUUCAGUUGCUUAGCCGAUAAUGGAGGAUACUGAAUAGUUAAGGAUUUCCUGAACUAUGAUUUAUGGAAGGAUGGACUCUGGUUUAUGAAAAGUUGAUUAUCAAAGUUUGAUUUGGAAUUAUUCUAUCAUUGAUAUUGAUUGUGUUUAUGUUUUGUUGUUAUACGUUGACCUGUUAUUGAAUUAUAGAAUUGGAUUAUUGUUUUUAUAUAAACCUGUGGACCAGAUUCGUGGUCAUGUUAGGCCAAUGAGUGCCUUGGAUCCAGUGAUAGAGCAUGGCGGGGCCUGCUCGGGGUUAGUGCGGAACUGAUCAGCUGCCUAACCUUGGUUUUAAUUAAAAUGUGAUAGUCCAAUUCAAUAAUUCUUUUGGAAAAAUUGAAUUCCUCAGUAUUCAAUUGCUGCAAGGUAUUGUGAUUUUCUUAUACAAUACCUAAACUCGUGAACUCAGGUUGAAUCCUUUUAUAUCUUGAACUCUUGAACUUCUGUUAUAUCAUUUCAGAAUUAUCACUGUUUAUUACUACUUGCGGAGCAUUGUUGCUCACCCUUGCUAUUCCUUUCUAACCAUUUCAGAAAGGCUUAAAGAUGAGAUGAUUGAUUGAGAUUGUGAGUAAGGCUAAUGCUAGGCGAGGAGACAGAGUUGAGGAUCCAGUGGUCGAGGAGUGUUCAGGAAAGUUGAUGAGGUUGGUGCAAGCUGGAAUAGUUGACAGUGAUUCUUCUUAUCGAAGAUGAUCUGAUUUGGUAAGAGAUGUUGUGUAAUAAUAGUGGUAGAUUCUAAUUUCAAUACUGUAACCUGGAUGCGAUCCUGUUGUUUUGG
rnacentral:lncRNA from 1 species